rnacentral:rRNA from 1 species
AGAGCUUGCUCUUAUGAAGUUAGCGGCGGACGGGUGAGUAACACGUGGGUAACCUACCCAUAAGACUGGGAUAACUCCGGGAAACCGGGGCUAAUACCGGAUAAUAUUUUGAACUGCAUAGUUCGAAAUUGAAAGGCGGCUUCGGCUGUCACUUAUGGAUGGACCCGCGUCGCAUUAGCUAGUUGGUGAGGUAACGGCUCACCAAGGCGACGAUGCGUAACCGACCUGAGAGGGUGAUCGGCCACACUGGGACUGAGACACGGCCCACACUCCUACGGGAGGCAGCAGUAGGGAAUCUUCCGCAAUGGACGAAAGUCUGACGGAGCAACGCCGCGUGAGUGAUGAAGGCUUUCGGGUCGUAAAACUCUGUUGUUAGGGAAGAACAAGUGCUAGUUGAAUAAGCUGGCACCUUGACGGUACCUAACCAGAAAGCCACGGCUAACUACGUGCCAGCAGCCGCGGUAAUACGUAGGUGGCAAGCGUUAUCCGGAAUUAUUGGGCGUAAAGCGCGCGCAGGUGGUUUCUUAAGUCUGAUGUGAAAGCCCACGGCUCAACCGUGGAGGGUCAUUGGAAACUGGGAGACUUGAGUGCAAAAGAGGAAAGUGGAAUUCCAUGUGUAGCGGUGAAAUGCGUAUAGAUAUGGAGGAACACCAGUGGCGAAGGCGACUUUCUGGUCUGUAACUGACACUGAGGCGCGAAAGCGUGGGGAGCAAACAGGAUUACAUACCCUGGUAGUCCACGCCGUAAACGAUGAGUGCUAAGUGUUAGAGGGUUUCCGCCCUUUAGUGCUGAAGUUAACGCAUUAAGCACUCCGCCUGGGGAGUACGGC